rnacentral:tRNA from 1 species
GGUCCCAUAGCUCAACUGGAUAGAGCAACUGACUUCUAAUCAGUAGGUUGAGGGUUCGAGUCCUUCUGGGAUCG